GUAAAAAGUGUGAAUUUGCUCAUCUACUUUGAAUCCCCUGCGCUACCGCCUUAUUAUGACGAAAAAGAACACAGAACCUGGUGAGAAAGCAACGAAUUUCAACGUACACGUAUGCCUGCCUACGGCAUGUCGAUCAACUGUACCGUUAUUCAGUGUUGUUUACAAAUUCAAAUGGAAGGUUCAUCAAAUUUAACGCAUUUGACUUGUGCAUGGAUCUGCGAUGCUGUACGUGUUCAAAAAGAAGUCGGCAUGGACUGAGAAGGUCAUAAAAGUGGUCAGGAAAUAAAUUGCCAACAGACAGCAGCAUUCCUCGAUUUAGAUGCAUUUCUCUUCAUGUCCUCUCCUGAAAGUUUUUCCAUGAUGUCUCGGGGUUAGGAUUGGGAUGCAGGAUGUACAGUAUAUAUCUAUAUGAUGUAAGAAUAUCCACUGUUUGUACACAUAAUCAUUUCUGUACUUACAAAGUUUUAAAAAAUCAAAAUCAAUUAUUGUACAUAUAAUGAUUUUCUUAAUGCAUUGAUCAGCUGUUGAUGAUUAAAACCUUAGGCAAAGACUUAUAAGAACGUAAUUUAUGAGUUUUUAUGAUCAAAGUUUGUCUAUUUUGCAUGUUUUGUGUCUGUCUGUCUAGCAUCUCUUCACCUUUUGGGCAAACAGAGAUUUAACCAAUUUAAGGACAUACGCUAUGUUUCUCUGAAAUUAUUUUUUCAUCUCCUCAAUAUGAAGAAUUCUUGCAUGAUUUCUAAAAUAAUUUUAAAGGGGCAUUAGCUAUAAUUUUGUCACCAAAUAUUGAAUUCAAUAAAAAUUGCUCUAUAUUAUAUAUUUCAGUAAUAACACAAGUAUUCAAUUAUUUCAAACACCUUUUAAUCUCAAAGCAGGCAAAUGAAUAUGUAAUUUUGGUGAUUAGAUAAUUAUUAUCUUGCAAGCCAAUAAUUCUUUUCUUUACACUAAAAGAGGUUAUUAAAUGUAGUUUUAUUAGGUUUCUCUUGGUUUUGUUGUUGUUUUGGGGUUUUUUUUCUUUUACAAAAGAAAUAUUUUUGUUAGUCAGUAAUAUAUAUUCCUUUGCCAUUGAGAGAUUUUGAGAGAGAAAAAAUGGUUGUCAUCACUUUCACAGCAAA